GACGAACGCUGGCGGCGUGCCUAAUACAUGCAAGUCGAACGCAGUGGGGACGGGUGAGUAACACGUGGCUAACCUCCCAUCAGAGGGGAUAACACUUGGAAACAGGUGCUAAACCGAUACUGAUGGAUGGACCCGCGGUGCAUGAGCUAGUGGGUGAGUUAACGGCGAAUCAACGCCACGAUGCAUAGCCGACCUGAGAGGGUGAUCGGCCACACGGGGACUGGGACACGGCCCUGACUCCUACGGUAGGCAGCAGUAGUGAAUCUUGGGCAAUGGACGAAAGUCUGACCGACCAACGCCGCGUGAGUGAAGCAGGUUUUCGGAUCGUAAAACUCUGUUGUUAGAGAAGCGGUAUCUAACCAGAAAGCCACGGCUAACUACGUGCCAGCAGCCGCGGUAAUUC
rnacentral:rRNA from 1 species